GAAUGAGAUUAUUUGCAGCCGUGAGUAAGUGGUUAAUGAGCUUUCAUUUUGGUUUUGCUAAGGGGGCGGGGUACAGCAUGAGUAUUAGUGCUUGUGGUGUGAGUGGCAGUUUGUAUCCUGUGAUCUGAGAUUAGGGUGGUUAUUUUCCCCCAGUAUUCUUGGAUUAUAUUGCAGUCACACCAUAUGUGGCUAGGGGUUCCCUCUGUGGAUUUACAUCUCCAACACAUGCUAGAGGAGUUUGGGAAGAAUUUAUUGAUUUGAGAUUGGGUAAAAUGCCAACGUGCUAUUUCGUGUGUGUUGGUGUUUGUGGAGUAUUGAAAUAUGUUUCUGAAUAUUAUAUCCCACUCCUCUGGAGUUAGCGUAAUGUUUAAUUCCUCUUCCCAAGAUUUUGUGGAUGCUGGAAGGUCGGCCUCUGCUUCCUUCUGUAUGAGUUUGUGGAAGGUAUCUCUUUCUUAUUGACUGUGUGGAGCUUAAUGUUUCAAAUGGUGUAAGUUGUCUGGAUCCUUGUAGAAGGCUGGGCUGUGACUGUAUGUAGUGUGAGAUUUGUGCAUGUUUGUAUUGCAACAGUGCCAUGUUUUCGGGUGGCGGUAUCAUGUCGGGAUAUGGGAUCAUCCCUUUGUCGUUUAGGACAUCUCGCAGGCGAAGUUGUCCAAGCUUUGCCUUAAAGCCUUGGAAAGCAGCAUGUUGCAUACCUGGUCGGAACUGCGGGUUAUCGGUUAUUGGGAACAGAGGGGAGGGGUGGGGUGCCAUGGUAUUUCCUUUUUUGAGUGAGAGCCAGUACUUCAGUGUGGGGAGUAUAGUAGGGUGUGUCACAUGCAAUGAUUUUAUUACCUCUAUGCCUGACUCGUGCCAGGGGACAUUUGCCUCAAGUUGUACCCACUGUUUCUG